UUUAAAGCCAAGUCUUCAUCAACGAAAAACAAAGGCACACAGGUUUGGUAUCGUACUGCUGGUAAACAAGAAAGCAAAAAAGAAAAAGAAUCAUUCAACGUGGCAGCUACAUGGCACGAUAUUCAGAAAAAUGUUUAUAAACAGUGCACUGGUGCUAAAAUAACUAAUCAAGAAAACCGAACGAACCAACCAAAUGAAAAUGGAGAUAUAAAUAUUUACUCAACGCCUACCAUGGUGUUUUCUGUGAUCGGAGACUCGGAUAGCUUUGUUCCCAGACCGUGGCCAAAAGCAGUAUUCCAAACAGCUCUGAUUGAAGCAGCAAAAUAUG